GACGAACGCUGGCGGCGUGCUUAACACAUGCAAGUCGAACGGAAAGGCCCUGCUUUUGUGGGGUGCUCGAGUGGCGAACGGGUGAGUAACACGUGAGUAACCUGCCCUUGACUUUGGGAUAACUUCAGGAAACUGGGGCUAAUACCGGAUAGGAGCUCCUGCUGCAUGGUGGGGGUUGGAAAGUUUCGGCGGUUGGGGAUGGACUCGCGGCUUAUCAGCUUGUUGGUGGGGUAGUGGCUUACCAAGGCUUUGACGGGUAGCCGGCCUGAGAGGGUGACCGGCGACAUUGGGACUGCGAUACGGACCAGACUCCUACGGGAGGCAGCAGUGGGGAAUAUUGUACAAUGGGGGGAAGCGUGAGGCAGCAACGCUGCGUGCGGGAUGACGGCCUUCGGGUUGUAAACCGCUUUCGCCUGUGACGAAGCGGGAGUGACGGUAAUGGGUAAAGAAGCACCGGCUAACUACGUG
rnacentral:rRNA from 1 species